AUUGAACGCUGGCGGAAUGCUUUACACAUGCAAGUCGAACGGCAGCAUAGAGAGCUUGCUCUCUGAUGGCGAGUGGCGAACGGGUGAGUAAUAUAUCGGAACGUACCCAGUAAUGGGGGAUAACGAAUCGAAAGAUUCGCUAAUACCGCCUACGCCCUACGGGGGAAAGCGGGGGAUCGUAAGACCUCGCGUUAUUGGAGCGGCCGAAAUCUGAUUAGCUAGUUGGUGAGGUAAGGGCUCACCAAGGCGACGAUCAGUAGCUGGUCUGAGAGGACGACCAGCCACACUGGAACUGAGACACGGUCCAGACUCCUACGGGAGGCAGCAGUGGGGAAUUUUGGACAAUGGGGGAAACCCUGAUCCAGCCAUUCCGCGUGAGUGAAGAAGGCCUUCGGGUUGUAAAGCUCUUUCGCAAGGGAAGAAAACUUACUUACUAAUACUAGGUGAGGCUGACGGUACCUUGAUAAGAAGCACCGGCUAACUACGUGCCAGCCGCCGCCGUAAAAC
rnacentral:rRNA from 1 species